GUGAGGAAUAUUGGUCAAUGGAGGCAACUCUGAACCAGCCAAGUCGCGUGAAGGAUGAAGGUCUUAUGGAUUGUAAACUUCUUUUGUAAGGGAAUAAAGUGAGCCACGUGUGGUUUUUUGCAUGUACCUUACGAAUAAGGAUCGGCUAACUCCGUGCCAGCAGCCGCGGUAAUACGGAGGAUCCGAGCGUUAUCCGGAUUUAUUGGGUUUAAAGGGUGCGCAGGCGGGAUGUUAAGUCGGCGGUGAAAUUUUGCGGCUCAACCGUAAAAGUGCCUUCGAAACUGGCAUUCUUGAGUAUGGAUGAAGUAGGCGGAAUUUGUGGUGUAGCGGUGAAAUGCUUAGAUAUCACGAGGAACUCCGAUUGCGCAGGCAGCUUACUAAACCAUAACUGACGCUCAUGCACGAAGGCGUGGGGAUCAAACAGGAUUAGAAACCCUAGUAGUCC
rnacentral:rRNA from 1 species